GACGAACGCUGGCGGCGUGCUUAACACAUGCAAGUCGAACGGAAAGGCCCUGCUUUUGUGGGGUGCUCGAGUGGCGAACGGGUGAGUAACACGUGAGUAACCUGCCCUUGACUUUGGGAUAACUUCAGGAAACUGGGGCUAAUGCCGGAUAGGAGCUCCUGCUGCAUGGUGGGGGUUGGAAAGUUUCGGCGGUUGGGGAUGGACUCGCGGCUUAUCAGCUUGUUGGUGGGGUAGUGGCUUACCAAGGCUUUGACGGGUAGCCGGCAUGAGAGGGUGACCGGCCACAUUGGGACUGAGAUACGGCCCAGACUACUACGGGAGGCAGCAGUGGGGAAUAUUGCACAAUGGGCGGAAGCCUGAUGCAGCAACGCCGCGUGCGGGAUGACGGCCUUCGGGUUGUAAACCGCUUUCGCCUGUGACGAAGCGUGAGUGACGGUAAUGGGUAAAGAAGCACCGGCUAACUACGUG
rnacentral:rRNA from 1 species